rnacentral:rRNA from 1 species
UAGCAUAUCAAUAAGCGGAGGAAAAGAAACCAACAGGGAUUGCCUCAGUAACGGCGAGUGAAGCGGCAACAGCUCAAAUUUGAAAUCUGGCGCAAGCCCGAGUUGUAAUUUGCAGAGGAUGUUUCGGGUGAAGCCACGGUCCAAGUCCCUUGGAACAGGACGUCAUAGAGGGUGAGAACCCCGUACCUGGCCGUCGGUGCCCCCCGCUGUGAAACUCCUUCGACGAGUCGAGUUGUUUGGGAAUGCAGCUCUAAAUUGGUGGUAAAUUCCAUCUAAAGCUAAAUACCGGCCAGAGACCGAUAGCGCACAAGUAGAGUGAUCGAAAGAUGAAAAGCACUUUGAAAAGAGAGUUAAAAAGUACGUGAAAUUGUUGAAAGGGAAGCGCUUGCGGCCAGACUUGCCCGCGGUUGCUCAGCCCGCCUUUUGGCGGGUGCACUCUUCCGCGGUCAGGCCAGCAUCGGUUUGGGCGGCCGGAUAAAGGCGCCGGGAACGUGGCCUCCCCUCGGGGAGGUGUUAUAGCCCGGCGUGCAAUGCGGCCAGCCCGGACCGAGGUUCGCGCUCUGCUAGGAUGCUGGCGUAAUGGCCGUAAGCGGCCCGUCUUGAAACACGGACCAAGGAGUCUAACAUCUAUGCGAGUGUUUGGGUGUCAAACCCGUGCGCGUAAUGAAAGUGAACGGAGGUGGGAACCGCAAGGUGCACCAUCGACCGAUCCUGAUGUCUUCGGAAGGAUUUGAGUAAGAGCAUAGCUGUUGGGACCCGAAAGAUGGUGAACUAUGCGUGAAUAGGGUGAAGCCAGAGGAAACUCUGGUGGAGGCUCGCAGCGGUUCUGACGUGCAAAUCGAUCGUCAAAUUUGCGUAUAGGGGCGAAAGACUAAUCGAACCAUUUAGUAGCUGGUUCCUGC